CUACGGGGGGCACCAGUGGGGAAUAUUGGACAAUGGGCGAAAGCCUGAUCCAGCCACGCCGCGUGCAGGAAGAAGGUCUUCGGAUCGUAAACUGCUGUUGAGAGGGAAGAAAGGCCCCUGAAGAGGGGGAGAUGACGGUACCUCUCUAGAAAGCACCGGCUAACUCCGUGCCAGCAGCCGCGGUAAUACGGAGGGUGCAAACGUUGCUCGGAAUCACUGGGCGUAAAGCGCUCGUAGGCGGUUUGUCAAGUUAGGUGUGAAAUCCCCGGGCUUAACCUGGGACGUGGACUUAAAACUGGCAGGCUAGAGUCUGGGAGGGGAUAGCGGAAUUCCGGGUGUAGAGGUGAAAUUCGUAGAUAUCCGGAGGAACACCAGAGGCGAAGGCGGCUAUCUGGACCAGAACUGACGCUGAGGAGCGAAAGCGUGGGGAGCAAACAGGAUUAGAUACCCCUGUAGUC
rnacentral:rRNA from 1 species